rnacentral:rRNA from 1 species
AUGGAGACGUAUCACACCUUCUAUCACGGAUCCAAAGGCAAGAUAUUUGUUAAUAAGAAUGGAUCCUUUCUAGAGGAGUUUCUCUCGAAAGAAGUGAGUGGGAGGAAAGUAGAACUUGAUGAGGUAAUUGUACCUGCUCCCGAAUUGGAAAUUAGUACAUCACAAAAUUUAGUUCCAGUGAUUCCUACACCAGUUAGUGAGGAAUCUAAUGAUGAUGAUCAUGAAACUUCAAAUAAAGUUACUACUAAACCUCAUAGGUCAAACAGAGUAAGAUUCGCACCAGAGUGGUACGGUAAUCCUGUUCUGGAAGUCAUGUUACUUGACCAUGACUAA